rnacentral:rRNA from 1 species
GCCGCGUGAUGUGAAGAAGGCCUUUUGAGCUGUAAAGCUACUGUUAGGCAGAUGAAGAAGACUGCCAGUGGGAUUAUACGCAUGGCACGAUGACAUUAUCUGCACAAAUAAGCACCGGCUAACUCUGUGCCAGCAGCCGCGGUAAUACAUAGGGGGCAAGCGUUGAUCGGAAUUACUGGGCGUAAAGCGAGCGCUAGGUGGCUUCUUAAGUCUGAUGUGAAAGCCCCGGGCUCUAACCUGGGAACGUCAUCGGAUACUGUUAGACUAGAGUACGUGAGAGGAAAGUAGAAUUCCAUGUGUAGCGGUGAAAUGCGUAGAUAUCUGGAGGAAUACCGAUGGCGAAGGCAGCCCUCUGGCCUCAUACUGACACUGAGGCUCGAAAGCGUGGGUAGCAAACAGGAUUAGAUACCCUGGUAGUCCACGCCGUAAACGAUGACUGCUAAUCGUUGGAUCCCUUGAGGACUUCAUGACUCCACUAACCCCAUAAGUAACACCCCCUGGGGAAUACCGACCGCCAGGGUUAAAACUCCAAUGAAUUGACCGGGGCCCCGCACCAACCGUGGAACAUGGUGGUUUAAUUCCAUGCAACCCCAAAAACCUUACCUGGUCUUGACAUAUCUAUGAAUCCUGCUAGAGAUGCGAGGAGUGCCUUCGGGAACUAGAAUACAGGUGCUGCAUGGCUGUCGUCAGCUCGUGUCGUGAGAUGUUGGGUUAAGUCCCGCAACGAGCGCAACCCUUGUCCUUAGUUACCAUCAGUUUGUUCGGCACUCUACGGAACUGCCGUGACAACUGGAGGAAGGCGGGGACGACGUCAAUCAUCAUGGCCCUUACGACCAGGGCUACCACGUGCUACAUGGUAGUACACAAGUCACUACACCAGCGAUGUGAUGCAAUCUCAAAAGCCUCUCUAUUCCAGAUUGAAGCUGCACUCCCUCUGAACAGGAUCGCUAGUAUCGCGGAUCACAUGCCCGGUGAUACGUUCCCGGCCUU